rnacentral:rRNA from 1 species
GAUGAACGCUGGCGGCGUGCCUAAUACAUGCAAGUCGAACGCUGAAGGAGGAGCUUGCUCUUCUGGAUGAGUUGCGAACGGGUGAGUAACGCGUAGGUAACCUGCCUGGUAGCGGGGGAUAACUAUUGGAAACGAUAGCUAAUACCGCAUGACAACAGUUAUUGCAUGAUAACUGUUUAAAAGGGGCAACUGCUCCGCUACCAGAUGGACCUGCGUUGUAUUAGCUAGUUGGUGAGGUAACGGCUCACCAAGGCGACGAUACAUAGCCGACCUGAGAGGGGGAUCGGCCACACUGGGACUGAGACACGGCCCAGACUCCUACGGGAGGCAGCAGUAGGGAAUCUUCGGCAAUGGACGGAAGUCUGACCGAGCAACGCCGCGUGAGUGAAGAAGGUUUUCGGAUCGUAAAGCUCUGUUGUAAGAGAAGAACGAGUGUGAGAGUGGAAAGUUCACACUGUGACGGUAUCUUACCAGAAAGAGACGGCUAACUACGUG